AUUCUGUCUUUAUUUUGAU
rnacentral:snRNA from 1 species